rnacentral:lncRNA from 1 species
AAUGUAUGAGAAAUUCCUCCAUUAUAACGACUAUUAAUUAGAGUCCGCUAAUCUGUUUGAGGGCGUGAGCAUAGUAUUUCAAUUUACUAAGAAGCUGACCGUAUUAGGUGCACUAAUUCAUCCAGGUGAGAUCAGUGGGGGUUGAUCUUCACCAUAUGUUAGUCUUCACCCCGACAUGCCCCCCCCCCCCCCCCCCAAACUUAUUUUNNNNNNNNNNNCCCACAUAGCAUUUUUCUGGGGUCUUCAAAAUCAGAAAGAAAUGUAUAGUUCUGUAACUUAUGUACAGGCAGUGCCAGCGGAAUAUGAUAUGUGAGAGCAAAUUUUUUGGGGCCAUGUUGCGUCUCUCUCUAAUUUCA